rnacentral:rRNA from 1 species
AUACGGAGGGUGCAAGCGUUACUCGGAAUCACUGGGCGUAAAGCGCGCGCAGGCGGUCUUUUAAGUUGGAUGUGAAAGCCUACGGCUCAACCGUAGAACUGCAUCCAAAACUAUUAGACUAGAGUGUGGGAGAGGAAGAUGGAAUUAGUUGUGUAGGGGUAAAAUCCGUAGAGAUAACUAGGAAUACCAAAAGCGAAGGCAAUCUUCUGGAACACUACUGACGCUGAGGCGCGAAAGCGUGGGGAGCAAACAGGAUUAGAUACCCGUGUAGUCC